GACAGAGGCCCCAAGCGUUAGGCGGAAUCACUGGGCUUAAAGCGUGUGUAGGCGGAUCGUUAAGUGUCUUGUGAAAUCCCACGGCUCACCCGUGGAACUGCUGGGCAUACUGGCGAUCUUGGGCCAACUAGGGGCAGCCGGAACAAGCGGUGGAGCGGUGAAAUGCGUAGAUAUCGCUUGGAACGCCGAAGGUGAAAACAGGCUGCUGGGGUUGUGCCGACGCUGAGACACGAAGGCCAGGGGAGCAAACGGG
rnacentral:rRNA from 1 species